UGGGGAAUAUUGGACAAUGGGGGCAACCCUGAUCCAGCAAUGCCGCGUGUGUGAAGAAGGUCUUCGGAUUGUAAAGCACUUUCGACGGGGACGAUGAUGACGGUACCCGUAGAAGAAGCCCCGGCUAACUUCGUGCCAGCAGCCGCGGUAAUACGAAGGGGGCUAGCGUUGCUCGGAAUGACUGGGCGUAAAGGGCGUGUAGGCGGUUUGUACAGUCAGAUGUGAAAUCCCCGGGCUUAACCUGGGAGCUGCAUUUGAUACGUGCAGACUAGAGUGUGAGAGAGGGUUGUGGAAUUCCCAGUGUAGAGGUGAAAUUCGUAGAUAUUGGGAAGAAUCACCGGUGGCGAAGGCGGCAACCUGGCUC
rnacentral:rRNA from 1 species